UUUGGCAGUGGAACAACACUUGUUGUCACAGAUAAAAACCUUGAUGCAGAUGUUUCCCCCAAGCCCACUAUUUUUCUUCCUUCAAUUGCUGAAACAAAGCUCCAGAAGGCUGGAACAUACCUUUGUCUUCUUGAGAAAUUUUUCCCGGAUAUUAUUAAGAUACAUUGGCAAGAAAAGAAGAGCAACACGAUUCUGCGAUCCCAGGAGGGGAACACCAUGAAGACUAACGACACAUACAUGAAAUUUAGCUGGUUAACGGUGCCAGAAAAGUCACUGGACAAAGAACACAGAUGUAUUGUCAGACAUGAGAAUCAUAAAAACGGAGUUGAUCAAGAAAUUAUCUUUCCUCCAAUAAAGACAGAUGUCAUCACAAUGGAUCCCAAAGACAAUUGGUCAAAAGAUGCAAAUGAUACACUACUGCUGCAGCUCACAAACACCUCUGCAUAUUACAUGUACCUCCUCCUGCUCCUCAAGACUGUGGUCUAUUUUGCCAUCAUCACCUGCUGUCUGCUUAGAAGAAUGGCUUUCUGCUGCAAUGGAGAGAAAUCAUAACAGACGGUGGCACAAGGAGGCCAUCUUUUCCUCAUCGGUUAUUGUCCCUAGAAGUGUCUUCUGAGGAUCUAGUUGGGCUUUCUUUCUGGGUUUGGGCCAUUUCAGUUCUCAUGUGUGUACUAUUCUAUCAUUAUCGUAUAAUGGUUUUCAAACCAGUGGGCACACAGAGAACCUCACUCUGUAAUAACAAUGAGGAAUAGCCACGGCGAUCUCCAGCACCAAUCUGUCCAUGUUUUCCACAGCUCCUCCAGCCAACCCAAAUAGCGCCUGCUAUAGUGUAGACAGCCUGCGGCUUCUAGCCUUGUCCCUCUCUUAGUGUUCUUUAAUCAGAUAACUGCCUGGAAGCCUCUCAUUUUACAUGCCCUGAAGCAGUCUUCUUUACUAGUUGAAUUAUGUGGUGUGUUUUUCCGUAAUAAGCAAAAUAAAUUUAAAAAAAUGAAAAGUUGACUUUUGUCCAUGUGUAUUUUAAUUGGAUGACAUCAAAUUGAACAUCCAAGGUAAGAAACAGCAUGGCAAUUGGGCUGUGGAAUUCUGUAUUGGUUGUAAGAAUGGUCCAACACCCCAUUUCUAAUUCUUUCCCUGAGAUCGUGGUUAUCACACCUUCUAAGAGGAACUACAACCAAACGAAGGAGCCCAUGUGGCUUUUGUUUGAAAGGUCACCAGAGUCAGAUUCAUCUGGUUUAGGACAUUCCAGUGGCUUUAGGACACUAUCUACUGUGACGUGUACCGUGUGAGCUCAGCUCUAGAGUGUUUCGCAGACACUGUGUUUCCUGAUCCUCACGAUAUCCCCGUGAGAGCUGCCCUAACAGCAGAGAGGCAGCGUGAUAGAGAGGUUCAGCACAUGCUCUCUGAUCCCAGGAAUCCUGGGUAUGGUGUUUCGUAUCUGUGUGACCUCAGGUGAGUUCCAGGAAAUCUAUGUGCCAUAAUGUCCUCAUGUAAAAUGAAGUUAUAAUGCCCCAUUUCCUGAAGUUAUGUGGAUUAGAUGAGUUAAUGACACCUGGCACAUGCAAGUCCUCCACAGUAUCGGCACACACUGUUGGUGCUCUAGAGACAGUAAUAAACCAAAAAGUGUCUGACACAGGCCUCAAUCAACUUAGAAGUUUAUUUUGCCUAGGCUAAGGGCAUGAUCAGAAGAAAAUAACAUGGAAUCACAGAAACAGUCUAUGGUCUACACCUUUCUCCAAAGAUGAAAUUGAGGGCCUCAAUGUUUAAAAAUGGAAAGUGGGCUGGAGGGGAGAGAGGGAGGGUAUAACUAUCCACAUGUUGCAAGAGCAAGGGAGCAGGUAGGGGAACUGCCAAUUAUGUAUUCAUGUUGCGCUCAAUAAAUCAGCACUUUACAUAAGAUACGGUUAACAUAGAGUAGCUACCUCUGGAGCUAUUUCACCUUUCAUCUGUAGCUCUCUGUUUAGGCACAAAAGGAAAGGCAGCUUCUCACAUGACCCAGCUUUUGGCUUAUUUUUUUCUAAAACAUAGCAUGAUGAAUUGGGAUCCAGAGUUUUUCUUUUCCUUUCACAUAGUAGAUUCCACACAUAUGCAAAAGCACUAACAGUUAUCUCUACUCUCACCUCUCCGCAGAGAGGUUAGGUGGUGGGAAUAGGGACCCAGUGAGUGUCUACUAUGCACUAGGCAUCCAGAAAUCCUUGAUGAGCCAGUUGAGGUCAGUACAAUUAAGGCUCACAGUUCACAGAUGAGAAAGAUUAAAUUACCUACUCAAGGUCACUAUUUUUAAAGUAAUAGUCGUAAUUUAAAGCUAGGUCCCUCUGAACCCAGAGCCCAUAUAUUUAAACACACACACACACACACACACACACACACACACACACACAUUUAUCCAACAUCACGUCUUUCCUUUCACCGACUUUCAACUGUGGAAAACAAAACAAAACAUGCAUUGUUUCUUUACUAAAGGCGUCCUCACCAGAGUCAAUGAGAGCUUUCUUAAGGAAAUCAUGGUGCACCUAUGUUUUCUCCUUAUCUACACUCCAGGCCACUGGUUUGUCACUAAUUUCCCAUUUGUUUUUUCUCUUUGGGUAAAAUUGACCUACUCUGGAAUUACCAUUAUUGCUUCCUUGGCUGUAAAGAGUAUAGAAAUUCUACCCCUGUGAGUGUGUGUCCUAGAUCUGCAGCUGUUCUUUUUGGGGGUGCUAAUGGACUGUAAAUUUCAGGCACAGCAGGACGGUUCACGGUGCUCUCUGGGUAUGUAUAACAUUCUGACACCCUAGCUCCUUCCGGAGACUAAACAGGCUCAGAGCUCUGCAGAAUCACCUUGGAGGAGAUUCUGGAACACCCACGUGCAUUUCUGAGGUAGGAGGUAGAAGAAGGUUAUGCAUCGUUCUUGGUCCAGUACGUUUCCACCACGGCACAGCUACCACAUAUCGGGAGGUCACAUGGUGUGGGAGGAAUACUAGUCACACUUCACAGCUAGUUAGAGCCCUGGCCACUUGGUCUGGCUCUAACAAGCUGUACCAUUUGUUCUUUUCUUUUCCUUUUUUUGAGAUGGAGUCUCAUUCUGUUGCCUAGGCCGGAGUGCAGUGACAUGAUCUUGGCUCACUGCAAUCUCCACCUCCAGGUUCAAGUGAUUCUCCUGCCUCAGCUUCCCAAGUAGCUGGGAUUAUAGGUGCCCACCACCACACUCAGCUAACCUCAGUCCUGCCUUCAGGCAAUCCGCCCAACUCGGCCUCCCAAAGUGCUGGGAUUACAGGCUUCAGCCACCAUGACCGGCCACAAUUUUUUCUUAACCAUCCCACAUUGCCUAAGUUCAUCUGUCUUUAGAAGAAUGUGUUUAGAUUAAAUAAUUUCAGAUUUCUACCUAAAGUUACAAAUUCAGUGAUUACCACCCUGAGGAAGUAAUGAUAGCAAUCACAAAUACAGUGCCCACCAUGUACCCGGUCCUGGCUUAAGGACGUGUUCACUCAUUUAAUUCUCACAAAAAUUCUAUAUGUACAAUUAUCUCUGUUCUAUGGAUGGGGAAACUGAGGCAGAGGGGGCUAAAAAACUUUCGCAUAAUCAAACAGCUACUAAGAAACAGGGCUGGAAUUUGAACUCAAGCAGCCAGGCUCCAGGACCUCCGCUCUUACCUUCUAUGUUAUUUCCUCUUAGAGUGAAAACAGGUUACUUGUAGUUUCAAUUAACACAUGAAAAUGUCCUUCCUUAUUAGGCUAUGAAGUAGGAAGGAAAUUGCCUCUUUGGCUGUUCACAUUUCCCCUCCUUGCUCCAAUGCUGUUCAGAUAAUUAGAGGGUUAUAAGCCAACCUGCCAAUUUGUCAAUGCUGGGAAGACUUUUAUAUGCUGAGCUCCCAUCCAUCAUAUAGGACUUCUGUGAUUAAAGACCGAAGCACAUGGUUGGACAAAAUAAGUACCAGAACAGGCAGCGCCCACAGGUGUGCAAUGGAAAAAUUAGGCAAAGAUUUAUACAGUUCUACAUAAAAACACAUAUCUCAAUAGUCACUACAGAGUUAGCAUACUUCACACGCUUGUCAAAUAAAAAAGAAAAAAACUCCAAUAUGGUGACACCCUGUCUCUACUAAAAAUACAAAAAUUAGCCAGGUGUAGUGGCUUGUGCCUGUAGUCCCAGCUACUUGGGAGGCUGAGGCAGGAGAACCACUUGAACCCGGGAGGCGGAGGUUGCAGUGAGCCGAGAUCGCGCAACUGCAUUCCAGCCUAGGCGACAGAGCGAGACUCUGUCUCAAAAAAGAAAAAGAAAGAAAAAAAAAAAAAAAGGAAAAACUAUAUAUAAAAAAACUCCAUAUAUUUCUCAACUAUAAAAAAGUAAAACUUCAGUUCAACAGUUCUCAAAAUAUUUCUAAUUAUUUAUUUUUUCUACUGUUUUGGAAUUCCUUUCCUCAUAGAUUUUAUUUUUGAAGGUUUUUGGUCUUUCAAGAAGGUCACGAUUAAUGUUUUCCCCAUUAUACUAAUCAAAGUCCUAUAUAACUGCCAGUGAGAAAUUCUGAGUAAUAAGAGAUAACCAGAGACACUACACCAAUAUAAUUCAGCCAAACAGCUAGAAAUUCAAGAUUUUCAUUAGCCAUGAAAAGUUAUUUGAGUAGAUGCGUAGCUUGCACCAUGAUUUGUUAGGUUCUUUUUCAUUUAUUUGCUUUUUCUGUUGUGUUUGAGGAAUAGUGAGUACCAACCACUUACUGAGCAGCAGAAAUAUGGCUUGGCAGCUUGUGUCCUCUCUCUCUAAUGCUCUCAACUGCAUCACCUUACAGCCAUUAUGCUCGUUUCACUGAUAAGAAAACCAGAUCUCGAGGUUAAAAAAUAUGCCCAAUUAACCACUGAGUGAGUCCCAGAUUUCACAUGAUUCCAGGACUGUCUGACUUAAGACCUGCUGCCUUAUCCAUCCUACCAGGGGCUCUCCUUAUGGGAGCCUUUAUCACGGGCCAGGCAUCAGGACCUUGGAAAAUCCUCUUUUCAUAAUUCUAAUAUGCAGCCAGGGUGGAGGCCAGCGAGUGACUGAAAUAGUGCCUGAACUCCAGCUGUGCUCCACACAAGCCGUAAGGAAACAUCUCAGAGCUCACUACACACGGGUGGAACACACGCCACCUGGAAGGUGUUCUUAUCAUGGGACCCAUCUAUUUCCCAAGGAAAUGAAUGUGGUGUACCAAGAUUUAUGUGCAAGGAUGUUCAUUCACGAUAGUGUUAUUUCAAACAGCCCCAAAUUAACCCAGAUGAACAACCAGAAAUUCAUAAAUAGACAAAUAUGCAUCUUCCAAAAAGUAUAGAUUCUUUAACCCAUUUCCCGUUUAGAAAAAAGUGCAGCUCGCUGUUUUUACAUAAACACACUCUUUUGAGGCUGAAGCAAAUCUGACUGAUUUUCAACGUGAAAAUAAAAUGUCAAAUCUGUUCCUGGGCUGGGCGCAGUGGCUCACGCCUGUAAUACUAACAUUUUGGGAGGCUGAGGCGGGUGGACUGCCUGAGCUCAGGAGUUCGAGACCAGCCUGGGCAACACGGUGAAACCCCGUCUCUAUUAAAAUACAAAAAAUUAGCCGGGAGUGGCAGCGUGCACCUGUAGUCCCAGCUACUCAGGAGGCUGAGUCAGGACCAUCACUUGAACCCGGAGGCGGAACGGAGGUUGCAGUGAGCUGAGAUCACGCCACUGCACUCCAGCCUGGGCGACACAGUGAGACUCUCUCUCUCUUAAAAACAAAACAAAACAAAAACUGUUCUUGGAGUUACUUCUAAACCGAACUUCUCUCUAAUCCUAAUGUAACAUCAUGUACAUUUCUGUUGCAUUAGGAUUAGAAAUGAGUAUUCUUGGGGCAAAAAGGAAAUGGGUUAAAAACUGGAAAAUAAAUAGAUAUGGAGUUGAAAAAUAAUAUUCAUAGCAUAAAUCCUAUUGUGAGAUAAAUACAUUUGAACACUUACAUGGUUCGAAAACACUCCAAUUUUUAUUUAGUUAAAUAUGGAUGUACAUAUAUAAGUAUCCAUGUACAUGUAUAUAUGUUCUCAUUUCCCCUUUUUACACAGGGAGUAUAUAGCAUAUAUUAAUCUGCACAUCUCUUUCCAUUUAUAAAUCUUAAAGCUCUUUUUAUGUUUAUAUACAGGGGCACUUCACUACAGGUAUUUUUUUUUCUUUUUUUUGUUUUUGAGACAGAGUCUUGCUCUGUGGCCCAGGCUGGAGUGCAGUGGCUGAUCUCGGCUCACUACAACCUCUGCCUCCUGGGUUCAAAUGAUUCUCCUGCCUCAGCUUCCCGAGUAGCUGGGAUUACAGGCUCCCACCACCACGCCCAACUAAUUUUUGUGUUUUUAGUAGAGACAGGGUUUCACCAGGUUGGCCAGGCUGGUCCCGAACUUCUGACCUCAAGUGAUUCGCCCACCUCAGCCUCCCAAAGUGCUGGGAUUACAAGUGUGAGCCACUGUGCCCAGCUAAAUACAGAUAUUUUUCACUGGUGAACAUACUUUCAAUCGGUGCCUUGGUUUAGUACCAGUCUUUUGCUAUUAUAAAAAAUGCUGAAAUGAAUGAUAGUGUUUUAUGUCAUUUGAACAUAUAUAUGCACUGGUAAUUCUGAUGGGUACUGCCAAACUGCCCUCCAUAGAAAUAGCCCUAACCCCUUCUCCCACAAUGUGUGUGAGUGCUGACAGCAUACUGCUUAACGUUGGGUUUUGCUAAUUUGACAGGUAAAAAUAGUACUGCAUUGUGGUUUUAAUUUGCUUUUUUUCUUACUGUGAGUGAAGAUAAACAUCUUUUUAUGUUUAAGGUCUAUUUUAUAUUAUUCUGUGCCAUAUUUGUUCAUGUCCUUUGGCCAUUUUUUCUACUGAGUAAUAACACAAAUAGGCAUGCCAUUCAUUUAUAUGUGUGUCUGUGUAUUUCUGCAGACAAAGAUAAAACAAUGUUCAUUGUUGGUACAUGGGUGAAAAAAUAAGUGAUUGUGUGUUUUCUGUUUUCUCCGGUGAAUCCUUUUGAAGUAAACAUUUUUAUAUAUUAGAAUUAAAACAAUGUGUUACUGAACAUUGGGAAGGUUUUCUGGUUUGCCUACAAUCAGCUUGUUUCUGUGAAACAUGUUCUUUUGGAAACCAAGUAGAGAAUCCUACUUGUAAACAAAGCAAGACCAACCAGACUUAAGAAAGAUCAAAUUUAAUUUAGAUCUACUCCUUGAUUCUCAUGAAUUGAUUGAAUCUCUUUAGGGCAAAUACCUGGCCUCUAUAGAGAAAUCUGGAAUGAUUUCUGCACUGGGAGAGGAAACUUUCAGAUCACUAAGGGCUUUGUGGGGCUGAUAUCACCAGCCGAGGUACUGGGCAAUGUCUCCUGUGGUUUCACACUUCUUAGCGAUUUCCUUCCCCAACGCAAGCUGGGCUGCCCCGAACUUCAGCAAUGUAGAGAGAGAAUGCAGUGGUGGUGGUGGAGGAGGCAGAGUGGGUGGUGGGAGGGCGCUGAUGUGGCGGAUGGUGUUUUAUUUUCUCAGGCUUCUUUUGUUUACGUGCUCUGGCAAAUGUGGUUGAUUCAUGGAAAAUGCUCAAAGUCAAACCAGCCCCUACUGGUUGGGGCUGUGCAUGGGGUGGCUAGGGUGUUGUAAGACAAAACGAGGACAGUUAAACCACAACCAACUUUGCUCACUUUCAAGAGCCCACAGCUAAUGGAAAUAAAAUACCCAUUUUCACACAUACAAGAUUACUAUCAAACACACUCUCCACGCUGUGGGUAGGUGGGGCUCCCUGCAUUUGAUAUUCAAGGUUCAUUAGCUACUAGGUGAGUUGGGAAUCUGAUGCCCAGGACUGUUCAGACAUGGCACCUUCGGUCCACUCCCAUGACACUGUCCUGAAGACCAGAGGACAUCUUGCAGCACGGAGAUGAUCCUAACAUUCCACCCAGUAUCUGUACCUUCCAGAGGCACCUGAUUCAGAGACACUAAUACUUUUGGUUUCAUUUCCUCAGUGUAAACAGGGUGACACAAGACUCAUGAACCUAUUAGCACAGGUAGAACACAGAUGUGGGCAACAGUGAUGUGCUUUCUCCACAGGAAACCAGGGAUAUAGAAGCCCUGAGUUCAACGGUGUAAUGAAUGUCAUAAAUGGAAUCAUAUCAAGUCCCUCUACAGAGACAAAAUGAUUUCAGCAUCAACCAGAGCAAGGAUUACUAUAGGACAAUAACAUCAGAUAAAUGAGUGAUAAGGGUCCAUCAGAGGAUUGCUCAGCAAUGUGAGCAUAAAGGACAAAUGGCUCCACUCCUACCCCACCGAAACAUGGCAGAGUGGGUGCCCAUGCCCCUGGGCUGAAUCUAUGCAGUCCGAGGGGAAUAUAUAACUCAAUCGUUGAGAUAAUCACUGUAGGCUCCCACAGUCUGACUUCCUAGCAUAUUCAAAUACUAUACCUCAUUCCUCUUGGUCUGUGCUUAGAGAGGUAAGACUUCUCAGCCAGACUUGGCUUCCUCUGAGGACUGGCAACAUCCUACUGGUUCACCCAGCAUGUCUGGGGGUGAGAGCUCCUUCUCAGGUUAAAUUAACAACCUGAUUGGCAACUUAAGCAUCAUCUAUGAGGUUGGUGUAUAUGCAACUCCAAUCCUGAAACAGGAGAUUCUCACUCACGUAACACCAUUGAGUUCUAAGGUUUUAGUCUCAAGGCCAGACAUUUGAGACUUUCCUUGCCCCUUCUCCACUAUGAGACGCUCAUCCUGGUUAGACUCCAGCCUCCCAGCAAGCCUCCCUGUUGCACUGUUGAGAUCUGAUCCACUCUUAGAACAAGCACAGAUAGAAGUUGUAGGGAAAAGAAAGAGAGAUCAGACUGUCACUGUGUCUAUGUAGAAAGGAAAGACAUAAGAGACUCCAUUUUGAAAAAGACCUGUACUUUCAACAAUUGCUUUGCUGAGGUGUUGUUAAUUUGUAGCUUUGCCCCAGCCACUUUGACCCAACCUGGAGCUCACAAAAACACGUGUUGUAUAAAAUCAAGGUUUAAGGGAUCUAAGGCUGUGCAGGACGUGCCUUGUUAACAAAAUGUUUACAAGCAGUAUACUUGGUAAAAGUCAUUGCCAUUCUCUAGUCUCAAUAAACCAGGGGCACAAUGCAUUGUGGAAAGCCGCAGGGACCUCUGCCGUUGAAAGCGGGGUAUUGUCCAAGGUUUCUCCCCAUGUGAUAGUCUGAAAUAUGGCCUCGUGGGAUGAGAAAGACCUGACUGUCCCCCAGCCCGACACCCGUAAAGGGUCUGUGCUGAGGUGGAUUAGUAAAAGAGGGAAAGCCUCUUGCAGUUGAGAUGGAGGAAGGCCACUGUCUCCUGCUUGCCCCUGGGAACUGAAUGUCUCGGUAUAAAACCCGAUUGUACAUUUGUUCAAGUCUGAGAUAGGAGAAAAGCUGCCCUGUGGCAGGAGGUGAGACAUGUUUGCAGUAAUACUGCCUUGUUAUUCUUUACUCCACUGAGAUGUUUGGGUGGAGAGAAACAUAAAUCUGGCCUACGUGCACGUCCAGGCAUAGUACUUUCCCUUGAACUUAAUUAUGAUAUAGAUUCUUUUGCUCACGUUUUUUGUUGACCUUCUCCUUAUUAUCACCCUGCUCUCCUACUACAUUCCUUUUUGCUGAAAUAAUGAAAAUAAUAAUGAACAAAAACUGAAGAAACUCAGAGGCCGGUGCCGGUGCAGGUCCUUGGUGUGCUGAGCGCCGGUCCCCUGGGCCCACUAUUGUUUCUCUAUACUUUGUCUCUGUGUCUUAUUUCUUUUCUCAGUCUCUCGCCCCACCCGACCAGAAAUACCCACAGGUGUGGAGGGGCAGGCCACCCCUUCAGAAGUGACUUGAUAUGCACCAAAGGUCAGUUUCUACCCAAGCCAGCAUCAUCACCACUACAGGCAAUUAGGUUUUUCUUCAAUGACACAAUGAAUGAUGAAAGAAAACUAACAGACAUCCUGACUUCCCUUGAAUCAAGGGGAAUAUUCAUGUUUGAAAAAACAGCACACAGUAUAAUUUAGUUCAUUUUAAUUGAAAUUGGCUGAACGCAAAGGAAACAUGAUAUGAAUGGUUUAAGUCAUUUUGUGCAUUCAAAAUAAGAGUAUUUAGAACAUUUCAGAACAAUCAGAGAAAAACAUGAUUUCAUGAUAAAAAUAAUACAAAUGUCUGGUGACAUUUUACAUGUAUUCGCAAUUCCUUUCUUCCCCUUUUGCAAGUCCAACACUUCAGGCCAUACACAUAAUGCAAAACAAGAAAAAUAAAACUAGCCACAUUGACAUGUCAGAUUUUAUUACACUUUUUAAAACUGUACAAAGAGCACAUGUGCAUGAGUUAAAAAACAAGGGAAAUGUAGGGUGUUAAAAAAGAAAUACAAAAUAAAUCUGAGACAUGAAACAAAAAAAUUCCAUUCUGUGAAUUGAAAUAAAAAGGUAUCUUGCUUACUAAAAAAGUGUUACUUCAAUAUAUUAAGUCUUUUGAUUAGGAAUACAGCACAAGACUUUCUUCACCUAUUCGUUAACACAUCAGGCUCAGUCUCACUGAAGAGAGGAUGAAUCAUGACAUUACCUUACCAGCCACAGGCAGGCAACUAAAUGUGCAUGGAUAUGGUACAACGUCUGUGAGGUAUUACAAUAAAUAAAUCUUUAUUAGCUGUUCAAUAAAGCCAGCAGUGGACGUCACCAUUUCAACUUUACUGUCGACAGGGAGACUCCACUGCCUGCCUCUUUUUGCCUCGAUGACUUUCUGUGAGGGUUUUUCACACUUAGAAAAAGAGAGAAGACAAAAGUAUUUAAUAAAUAGCAUUAAAAGGCAAAAUGCCACGGUCACCUUACAUGUACAUAAAAGUCUGUGUGCUGAAGAGGGGCUGUGACAGACACACGAAGGACCAUGCGUGUGGUCACACUAGAAUUCAUGUUAAAAUAUUUCAGAAAAGGCUUAACUACGAGCAUGCCCACAUUUCUGCUUCGUGUCUACAUGACUGUGGUGGGGAGACGAGGCUGAGGUGUGCUGGGGGCUGAGGAGGCAGGCACUGGGGCUCCAUGCGCCGUGACCUUGGCUGCCUCUCCCACCCAGUCAGCUUCUAUCUCAGCUUCCCAAUGACUCACAAUCUGGCAGCUUUUUCCUUCUGUGGUUAAACUGUCAGGCAGAUUUGCUGCUACUACAAUUUACUUCAAUUGCCUUCUAUUUAUGAGGUUAAAAUGAUUUUCUCUGAUGACUUAAAGGGAUUUAACAAUGUGUUCCACUUUGGAGCCCAUUAAGCAUGACUGCUUUGGAUGUACAGCAGCUUUCAUCUCAGAGGCUCCAAAAUCCUUGAGAAAUGUCCCAGUGAGGGGCUGCAGUGGACCUGGUACCAGAAAGUGUGGGCCUGAGCCCCAACGCUGCCUCGUCUAGCUGUGCAACCUUGGAUAAGUGACCCAUUCUAUGUCUCUGCUGCUUCAAAUGUAAAAUGGAGGUGAUAACAGCACCUGUAUCUCACAGGACUGCUGUCCUCUUAACAUAGAUUAGUACCUGUCAUUAAAACAAUGACAUGUGACUGGCAUGUAGACAUUCUGGCUAAGUAAAUUAACAUAAAUUCAUCUCUAUUCUUUAGAAAUUUAGAAAUCUGAGGUAUUUUCAAACCUUAUAAAUGUAUACCUGUAUAAAAAAUGUUAAGACACUUGGCAUUAAUAAAAUGUGACUGAUAAAUUCAUGCAAGUAAGAUAAAUCUGGCUAUCCUUACACUCUUAUUCUUUGAAUUCUACUUUGACUCUACUCAAAGGAAAUCUCCAUACUUAACUACUUUGUUGUUAUGGUUUCAUUUCAAACACUUACUUUAACAAAAGUAGUACUCAUAGUUCUAAAAGUGGUUUCUCACUGUCCUGUUUUUCUUCAGCUUCUUCAGAUCCUACAUGGUGGAGAAGGGGACAAAGAAAAAGUAUUUCAUUCCAUUACAGUAACAAACUAUUUUAAAUAAAUAUGUUUAAAAUUAUAACAUAUACACAUAAAAACAUUAAACAUAUGUUUAAUCCUCAAGAGAUUUAGGUUAACUGCUAUUUGAAAGCUUUACUUUAUUUCUUGUAACAGGAAAACCUUUAAACAAUAAUCUAUCACUUACACUAAUCUGUCAAAAUGGAUUUCACUUAUGUACUAAGAAUAUUCAUGCAGACCAAUAACUAUUAUCAAUCACUAUUCUUCCUCCGCCUCUUUGCUGACAAGCUUGCAUAUAUUUUUUACAUGCAAAAAUGUUGAGCUUGGUACAAAUAAUUGAAUCUAGGUGUUUCUAACAAUGGCUGUGGCAGAUGAGCGAGAGAGCAGUGAGAGGGCACUGUGGCAGUGACCACGGUCUGGCCCUUCUGGAUCAAUGUCUCAUGAGCUUCAGGAUAUUCCUAGAUUUGACCUGGUCAUUCCACUCUGGAAUUCUUUCCUUAGGACAGACCUAUCCCUGAGGAAAUAAUGCUUAUUAUUCAUUAUGUAGAUUUUCUCUCUAAAAAUUAGAAAAGAAAGCAAAGUGUCUGAGAAUAGAAGAAAGGUUAAUACUGUAGUUCCAUAAAAUAUCUUGUAUCCACUUAAAAUUAUGGUUAUAUAGAGUUUAUAACAUGAAAAAUGCAUGCGCUGUAAGGUAAAAGCAAAUGUAUAGCAAAUAAAACUUUAAAUGCCAUGAGAUCACAUUUGAUAAAAUUAAAAACCAAAUAUAUGUGUGCAAACGAGAAAGAGUAGAAGAAAAUAACCACGUAACUUUUAUAUUUUUUUCUGGAUAUUUUAACAUUUCUACAAUAAACUUGAAUUGACUUUAUUAAUAAUUUUUAAAUUAUAUUUUUAAAAAGCAGAAUAUGAAUAAUAUAGGCAGCAUGGGCACAAUGAUGUGAGAUUAAACGCACAGACACACACACAGACACACACACACACACACACACCCCAAGAAGGAAACUAAACUGUCAAUACUGAUGUUACCAAAUAGUUUGAAGGAUACGUGAUUUCUAAUUUUUGUUCUUUCCACUUUUUUAAAUGCAUGGCUUUCAUAAUCAGGGAAGGGGAAUUAAAAAAAAAGCAGAGGAGGCCCUGAGAGAAGACCAAAGUAGGGGGUGAGAGAUGCCAUCAAUUCACACGUAAAAGCUGCAGCCUCUCUCAACUGCGCCUGAACCUUGUUAGAUAACAUACUUUAAAAAGGACAUUUUUUUUUUUCCCUAAGGAGAAUGUCUACCUGAAUUAUAGCCAAGAACAAAUUUGUUAUAGGGAAAGAAUGCCUGAUAAUCUGAAGAAAACAUUUUAACCUCAUAAAUGUCACACGGUUAGGUUGAAUUUGUAGUAAAAUGAAUAGGUAAAGACUUAACUGUUGAAGGCUUUACUUUCUACCCUAUUAACACACUGUCCAUCAUAGAGACAGGAGGUGGUGAACUGCCUGUCCUUACUGUGGAAGGAGGAUGAGGAAGAUGGUCACAUCAGAUCUUCCUGUUCCCAAGCUCACUUCAACCUGCUAGGCCAGUGGCACUGAAACCACAGUGAGUUGCCAUGUCUUGGAAUUAUUUGGGAGUCCUAAUUAAAGCUAAACCCUUAAUUAAAAUAUAACAAUAUGUCUUCUUUACAUAUUUUAAAAGGGACUUCUUGCUACGGCCAAGUGAAGAAGUCAAUAAAUCCUCUCCCUGAAAGGCACCCCCAAAAUGUGGCAAAAUGGGCAAAACUAGCCAUCUCACCACUGGAGAAAUGACCAAAAGCACACAACAACUGGAGAAAUGUUUAUGUUUGAAACACUGCAGAAUUCAGGGAAUAGCAGUUGUGUCUUGCCUGGAGCUGCCCCUGUUCUUCUCCAACCUCCCAGUACCCAGCUCAAUGGGCAUGGAGGUUCUGCUAGGGUGAGGCAGGCCAUGGGGACUGGCAGUAAAGCUACUCAGUUGAAGGGAGAUCGCUUAGUUUGGAGUGGGGAGCCACGCUCAUGCCCAGUGACACUGACAGUGAAGUGACAAAUUCAGAGGCAGGUGAGCAGAAAGGGCCAACUACUCUGGGAGGCUGAGUUGUGGUCACCACUGGGACAAGCAUAUGCCCAGCUGGUGUUGUCUCCAUGCACAGAGGAGACCCAAGAGAGCCCAAGCCAGCCAAUUAGCCUGAGCUCUAAGCAUACGCAGAGAGAGCAGGAAAGGACUUAGCAGAAAGUAAAAGCUGGGGAGGACUUGAAAAUGGCCUGAACGCUGAAGGUGCUAUCCAACCCAUGUACAUUUCUACCUGGCAGAGGAUGGAAGCCUUGAUCCAGGUAUUUGAGUGCAAUCCUCUGUGUAAUCACUAGCUAGGCUCUGCCUAAUCAGUAGGCUCUAGACAUGGGUAACUCCUAGGAAGCUAGGCUUAAAAAUAUAGGCAAGAAUUAAUGGACAAUAAAACAAAAAACUGAGAGAAAACAGAAGAAGUCACACAUCCUAGGGUGUAUAGAUUUCACAGAUUUAGCACAGCUAUAUAAAGAUAUAGCUCUUUACUAAACAAAUAAAGAGCAAGAACAGCAAUGUUUCAGGAAAAAAAUCAGAAUCCAGAGUUACUUUAUUUUCAGCAAAAUACUUUUCAUCAAAAAAAAAAAAAAAAACAA